GACCAGUAGCUCAGUUGGCAGAGCAUUGGGUUAGUAUUCCAAAGGUCGUAGGUUCGAUUCCCACCGUGGUCA
rnacentral:tRNA from 1 species